AGAGCUCAGCCCCCUCCGGAGCCAUGCGGCUGCCUCGCUGGGCAGGGCCGCUCCUCGAGGCGCGCGGUGAGCCGGGGACAACUUCAAAGAUUCUUACUUUUCAAAAUUAAGAUAAGGUUUGAUAAAAGAUUCCGCGAACUUCAGCUACACUGAAGGAAAAAUAACAGACCAUAGGCUAUUCAAGACAGUACUCAAGCACAAGCAUAAGUCCUCUGCUAAAAUGGACGUAAUUGUUUGCAAAACAUUGGAAUAGACUAGCAACAGUAAGCUGGUACAUGGAAAUUUGGGAACCACUGCAAUAGAC